rnacentral:rRNA from 1 species
UAUUAACUCUGGCGGCGUGCUUAACACAUGCAAGUCGAACGGAAAGGCCCAAGCUUGCUUGGGUACUCGAGUGGCGAACGGGUGAGUAACACGUGGGUGAUCUGCCCUGCACUUCGGGAUAAGCCUGGGAAACUGGGUCUAAUACCGGAUAGGACCACUUCUUGGAUGUUGUGGUGGAAAGUUUUUUCGGUGUGGGAUGAGCUCGCGGCCUAUCAGCUUGUUGGUGGGGUAAUGGCCUACCAAGGCGUCGACGGGUAGCCGGCCUGAGAGGGUGUACGGCCACAUUGGGACUGAGAUACGGCCCAGACUCCUACGGGAGGCAGCAGUGGGGAAUAUUGCACAAUGGGCGCAAGCCUGAUGCAGCGACGCCGCGUGGGGGAUGACGGCCUUCGGGUUGUAAACUCCUUUCGCUAGGGACGAAGCGUUUUGUGACGGUACCUGGAGAAGAAGCACCGGCUAACUACGUG